rnacentral:misc_RNA from 1 species
UAUGAAGAACGUAGCGAAAUGCGAUAAGUAAUGUGAAUUGCAGAAUUCAGUGAAUCAUCGAAUCUUUGAACGCACAUUGCGCCCGCCAGUAUUCUGGCGGGCAUGCCUGUUCGAGCGUCAUUUCAACCAUCAAGCCCCCGGCUUGUGUUGGGGACCUGCGGCUGCCGCAGGCCCUGAAAACCAGUGGCGGGCUCGCUAGUCACUCCGAGCGUAGUAAUACAUCUCGCUCAGGGCGUGCUGCGGGUUCCGGCCGUUAAAAAGCCUUAUUUACCCAAGGUUGACCUCGGAUCAGGUAGGAAGACCCGCUGAACUUAAGCAUAUCAAUAAGCGGAGA